UACCAGCACCCCGAGUGGUCGGGACGAUUAUUGGGCCUAAAGCAUCCGUAGCCGGUUUUACAAGUCCCCCGUUAAAUCCAGCUGCUUAACAGAUGGGCUGCGGAGGAUACUAUAAGACUAGGAGGCAGGAGAGGCAAGCGGUACUCAGUGGGUAGGGGUAAAAUCCGUUGAUCCAUUGAAGACCACCAGUGGCGAAGGCGGCUUGCCAGAAUGCGCUCGACGGUGAGGGAUGAAAGCUGGGGGGAGCAA
rnacentral:rRNA from 1 species